rnacentral:lncRNA from 1 species
GGGGUGAGGUUGUUGCAAAAUGUGAGCAUCAGGAAGACAUUGUGUACGCUGAUAUUGGUAGGAAUUUUCUACUUGCUUUUGUAACUCAUGAGACUUGAUGUAAAACUCACAUUGUGGUAUAUUUAAACUUUUACAAACUUGCAACUACAUAUUUUCCAUCUGUCAUCCAUAUAGUCGAAAAUAAGAUGUUUUAUAUCUUUCACGAAUAAUGAAUGGAAAAGUAGUUGAAUUUUAUCUACAUUGAGGGUGGGAACCCCGAAUUUAACACGGCCACUCAUCGCAAAAAUCAUCUCUCGAACAUUAUGACUGGAUGAAAUCACUCACAACGAUCUUGCAAGUUCACUUUUGCGAUGAUUGAAAUCAUCGUCUAUACCUUGAAAUAAAGGCUUUAUGUUUUCACCCUGGUUUGCUUGUUUGCUGUAGACUAGUGUAAGCACGACAUAUAACUAAAAAAAUUAAGCAUUUUUAUACGAAAAUGUGUGAAGGCGAUUAAGUUUUGGUUCAAUUUGGAUGAAAAUUGGAUAAGAAAUUUACCAACGUUUGUAUUGAAUGCAUAAUUAGUGCGUUUAUAAUUUAUGCAUGAAUAAUAUCUUAAUUUUUUGGUGGAGGUCACUGGAGGUGUGUGGUCGUUGCAGUCUGCGAGUGACCUCCAGUUACUAAUUAGAUUAAUCUCUAAAUAUAUGUAACAUUUUCAUUAUUCUUUAUUAUUAGAUCUUAAUUAUUUAGAAGAAGUACGGUCGCAAGUACCAAUCACUUCUCAAAGGCGACAUGAUCUCUACUCGGUCGAAAACACUCAGACAUCCUAAGAUUAUAAGUUUUGGACAUCAUGUGAAUUCUAGAUGGAGUCUGUACCUAGUGAGGAAAUAAUUAAAACAACUUAACAAAGUUUAUAUGUAUCUAGUGAACUUGUUACAAGUUUGGCAACUGUAGAUUCCAUAGAGAUCGAGGCACAAACUUAUUAUCAAAUUAUUUUAUGUCAAUCAAUACUAUACCAAGAAUGAUUAUUUACAAAUAUGAAGACAUGAUGCGCUAUAUAGAUCAGUGUGGAUUGUAACAAUUUAACUGUGCAGUUGUUGGUCCAACGGAUACUGUUUUCAAAUGUUCUGCAUGUCUGGUACUGACAAUGGUCUGGUACCAUAAACUUGUAACGUGACUUUGUUGAUUGUCACGGCAAAGCCAAGAAAAUAUUUUGUGUUCCUUCUCUUGCUGUUAUGCUUUUUGAACAGUAACAUUCAAAUAAUAUGCUUUAAUUUAUUUGAUCGGUCAAAAUGCCGUUCAGAAUAAAAUUUUGUUCGGCAAAUAGCUGAUUGCAUGCCAACCGUUAUAAUCCACACUGAUAUAGAUCUAGCAGGAACACAAGACUCCGAUUAAGACGUGAUUAAGACGUCCAUAGUCAGAAGCAUCAUGUAACGACUAAUUGAAUGCACUAUAUUACUAUGUCUAUGUAUUUAUUUGAAUAAAACGGCACAUGCAAUCGGUGGCUAAGUUGUGGUGGUGCAUUGAUUAUACAACGUAGACAAUCUAUAAGAUAACUGCAUACGUUUUGUCCCAAGAAUGUCCCAAGCACUGCCAUGCCCAAAUUUAUACUAAGGAAGAAAUGAUCCGUGUUGGCCAACUUGGGCAAAAGAAAAGAGUUCGUCUUGAAGAAAUUACAGGGUGCGAUAAUUCGCGUACCAGAGGUAAGUCAAUAUUACGGUCACUUUCC